GCGGGGAUUCCGGAGUGGUCAAACGGGUCAGCCUCAAGAGCUGCUUGCCUCGUGCAUUCGCAGGUUCGAAUCCUGCUCCCCGCA
rnacentral:tRNA from 1 species